rnacentral:precursor_RNA from 8 species
CCACGGACCUGGGACCGAAUGCUUUGCUAAAGCUGGUAAAAUGGAACCAAAUCAACUGUUCGAUGGAUUUGGUCCCCUUCAACCAGCUGUAGCUGCGCAUUGAUGGCACCUCGGCCCUGC